rnacentral:rRNA from 1 species
GAUGAACGCUGGCGGCGUGCCUAAUACAUGCAAGUCGAGCGAACAGACGAGGAGCUUGCUCCUCUGACGUUAGCGGCGGACGGGUGAGUAACACGUGGAUAAACUACCUAUAAGACUGGGAUAACUUCGGGAAACCGGAGCUAAUACCGGAUAAUAUAAUGAACCGCAUGGUUCAAUAGUGAAAGACGGUUUUGCUGUAACUUAUAGAUGGAUCCGCGCCGCAUUAGCUAGUUGGUAAGGUAACGGCUUACCAAGGCAACGAUGCGUAGCCGACCUGAGAGGGUGAUCGGCCACACUGGAACUGAGACACGGUCCAGACUCCUACGGGAGGCAGCAGUAGGGAAUCUUCCGCAAUGGGCGAAAGCCUGACGGAGCAACGCCGCGUGAGUGAUGAAGGUCUUCGGAUCGUAAAACUCUGUUAUUAGGGAAGAACAAAUGUGUAAGUAACUAUGCACGUCUUGACGGUACCUAAUCAGAAAGCCACGGCUAACUACGUG